rnacentral:rRNA from 1 species
AUUGAACGCUGGCGGCAUGCCUUACACAUGCAAGUCGAACGGCAGCACGGGGCAACCUGGUGGCGAGUGGCGAACGGGUGAGUAAUGCAUCGGAACGUACCUUUCAGUGGGGGAUAACGUAGCGAAAGUUACGCUAAUACCGCAUAUUCUGUGAGCAGGAAAGCAGGGGAUCGCAAGACCUUGCGCUGAUUGAGCGGCCGAUGUCAGAUUAGCUAGUUGGUGAGGUAAAGGCGCACCAAGGCGACGGUCUGUAGCGGGUGUGAGAGGAGGAUCCGCCACACUGGAACUGAGACACGGUCCAGACUCCUACGGGAGGCAGCAGUGGGGAAUUUUGGACAAUGGGGGCAACCCUGAUCCAGCCAUGCCGCGUGAGUGAAGAAGGCCUUCGGGUUGUAAAGCUCUUUCGGCCGGGAAGAAAUCGCACGGGCUAAUACCCUGUGUGGAUGACGGUACCGGAAUAAGAAGCACCGGCUAACUACGUGCCAGCAGCCGCCGUAAGAC